rnacentral:tRNA from 1 species
CGGAGAGUUGGCUGAGUGGUCGAAAGCGCCUCCCUGCUAAGGAGGUAUAUGGGUAACUGUAUCGAGGGUUCGAAUCCCUCACUCUCCGCCAC